GACGAACGCUGGCGGCGUGCUUAACACAUGCAAGUCGAACGAUGAAACCUAGCUUGCUAGGUCGAUUAGUGGCGAACGGGUGAGUAAAACGUGACUAACCUGCCCCUUUCUCUGGGAUAACGCUUCGAAAGGAGUACUAAUACCGGAUACUCACAUCGAGGCACAUGCCUUGGUGUGGAAAGUUUUUCGGAAAGGGAUGGAGUCGCGGCCUAUCAGCUUGUUGGUGAGGUAAUGGCACACCAAGGCGACGACGGGUAGCCGGCCUGAGAGGGCGACCGGCCACACUGGGACUGAGACACGGCCCAGACUCCUACGGGAGGCAGCAGUGGGGAAUAUUGCACAAUGGGCGCAAGCCUGAUGCAGCGACGCCGCGUGAGGGAUGAAGGUCUUCGGAUUGUAAACCUCUUUCAGUAGGGACGAAGCGAAAGUGACGGUACCUAAAGAAGAAGCACCGGCUAACUACGUGCCAGCCGCCGCUGUAA
rnacentral:rRNA from 1 species